CAGCCGCCACGGUAAAACGUAGGGUGCAAGCGUUAAUCGGAAUUACUGGGCGUAAAGCGUGCGCAGGCGGUUCUAUAAGACAGAUGUGAAAUCCCCGGGCUCAACCUGGGAACUGCAUUUGUGGCUGUAGAGCUGGAGUGCGGCAGAGGGGGAUGGAAUUCCGCGUGUAGCAGUGAAAUGCGUAGAUAUGCGGAGGAACACCGAUGGCGAAGGCAAUCCCCUGGGCCUGCACUGACGCUCUGCACGAAAGCGUGGGGAGCAAACAGGAUUAGAUACCCCAGUAGUCCCUGUCUCUUAUACA
rnacentral:rRNA from 1 species